UAUCCAAUCCAGGAUUCGAUCCUGGGUCGUGAUGGUCAAAAACCAACGGUUUUGACCACUUGACCAUUGAC